AUUUCUCAAUUCCUUUGCAAUGUUCACAAAGAAGUUACCAUUCACAAAGGUCUUUACUUCUACCUGCAGAACAAAUCAAAAUAGAACAGCACUUGAUGAUGGCUUGAAAAUUUCCAAAGCAUGUAAAGGGAGUUUACAAAGUCCUCCAGCAUUUAUUUGAUAAGUGUUCGGUGAGUGCCUAUUGAAGGCCAGGCAGGGCAGUGAUGUUGGGGUUAGACAGUAACCAGGGAGACAUCCCUGCCCUCUGGGAACUGACAUCAAGUCGGGGAGAAAGUAAAUAAACAACAUAAUGGUAGGCAGUGAUCAGUGGUACGAAGAGAGAGACCUGGCAGUGGUAAGGAGUGAAUAGGAAGUGUGGAGGCUUAGUCAGAGCAAAUGUCUUGAGUCAUUUGGGAAUGAGGGCAUUUAUUCCAAUGAGAGACUCCUGUGUUCACUCAAGCACAUUGAGGGUUUUCUCCAAGGAUUUCCUUUAGAAGGAGACUUUGUGUAUUUCUCCUAGGAUCUUCUCUCAACCCCAGGAUAUAGUAUAGCCCAAGCUCAGUCCUUCCUGACUUCACUGCUGUGAGAAGUUACCAUCUUCUCCCCUAGGCACUGCUUGGAUGAGGAGGAGACAUUUGAGGAGGACUUUGGCUUUAUUUUGUCCCUCAAGUGAGCAAGCAGCCCUUGGCAAGCCAGGAAGAGUGCUCUCACAGGACCUCAAUCAUGCUGACACCGUGACCUUGGACUUCCAGCCUCCAGAACUGUGAGAAAGUAAAUUUGUGUUGUUUAAGUCAUCUAGGCUAUGGUAUCUGUUAUGGCAGCCUGAGAUGACUAAUACAGACAACUUAAUAACUCCUACCUAUAGGGAGGGUACACUAUAGUGAGGCAAAAGCUGCAAUUGUUUAAGAAACUACUCACAUUAACUGGGAGACAGGGAUACUUGGUAUUUUGAGGUUUGGACAAUAUUUGUGUUUUGUCUGUGUUCAGAUGUGAUUAUGGAGUGGUCUUGAUUACGUCUUGAUCCAUUGUGGUCAAAGAGUGGCCGUGUCUGAUACUGAUAGACUGUGGAGUUGUUUGUGUUCAACACAGAACACAAGACUUGGCUGUGAGUGACAGCUUUCCUAACAGCCCUGAAGCAGUGGGGACUUCCACAAACCUCUCCCAAGAAUCUGACUCAGGAGAAGGAACACUUGUGUGAAAAGAGGAGGACGGGCAUCUGGACGAAGUAGAAAUCAGUGUGCAGAUGCCAUUGAAGUGGCAGCAUCACAGAGCCAGGAGAAGGAGAGAUUCAUUUGUUAAAUUAUUUUUAAAUAAUUGCUACUGUUAAGACAUAUAUACGUAUUUUUUCUCACUGCAAAACUGGAGUGGUGCUCUUGUGCCACUGAAUUGCUAUAAUGGAUAUCUUUUGUUUUUGCCUUCCAAGUUUCCAUUCCAUCUCCUUCAGGUAACAGCACCUGCUUUAGCUCUGGAUGUCUUGCCGUCCCCAGUGAGAUGAAGUCUUGUUGGAACUUUCAAUCAAGAUGCCCCAAGCAUGUUCCCCUGGGUCACAUGACCCAAGUCAGAUUAGUCAAGUACUUCUUCCCUGGAUUUUGAUUUUUGAAUGGAGUGAUAAAAAAGAUGACAACCCAAAUUCUUUAUCAUGGCCUACAAAACUCUCUGUGAUCUACUCUCUGCCUAUCUCUCCAUUGUCAUCUUCUGCCACGCUGCCAUGAGUCACAAUGUCACCACACUCCAGUCCCACUGGCCACCUUUCUGUUUCCUGAACCCACCAAGCCUUUUCCAGCGUGAGGUCGCUGCACUUGCUGUUCCCUUUGCCUGAAAUUCCCUUUCCCUUUUAUUUCUCAGCUGGCUUCUCUUUCAUCCUCCAGACCUCUACAUAAAUACUCUCUUUAUAAGAUUCUUUCUUUGAACCAUCUUAUUUAAAGUAGGCCUCCGUUAUUUUUAAUUUUCCCAUGCUAUUUUAUUUUAUUUGUUACAUACUCACUAGCUGACCCCUUGUUUAUAUAUUUGUUAAUUUCUUUAUUGUCUACUUUCUAUAAAGUAUGAGCAUGACAGCAUCAAGUAAGUAGAAGCUGCGUCUGUGUAGUUCUCUGCAGCAUCUCCAGUGCAGGCAGAUGCAGAGUUGUUGAUGAGUUCUCAUUUGUCCUGGAUCUUCUUAUUCUGCAUCCAUCUCUCCUUCUUGACUUCUGGUCCUGCUGAUCAAAAUUGGCCCCAAGCCCACUACCAGAUAUAGCAUUGUGAACUCACAGGGGUGGUAGCCCAAAAAGCCAGUAAUCUUCCAGAGAAAUUCCUCAUCAGCCCCCUUCAUGGUCUUUCUCUAACAGUGGAUGUGCCUAGCUUCCAGAUUUCUGAAAGCCCUGACUCACUUAGUUAUUCCAGGGCUGGUUUCUCUGAUUCUUUGAUUCCCUAUUCAGAUCUUUCUCUUCCCAGCCCCUCCCACCAUUGUGUAAGGUCUAACUCCUAUAAUGAAUUCCUUAUUCCAUAAUCCUCAUGGAGUUUUCUUCCCUGAGUGAACUGUGAUACAACUCUCAAGGUCACCUCAUGGCUCAGGACAGCAUCAGGAGGUUCAGCCACCAUCUCCAUAUUGCAGGCCAGAAGCAGGUCAAUGACAGGUGGGCAGAAGGAUGCUGUGGUAGCCAGAAUCCAAGGCAAUCCCUAUGAUCCCACCUCCUUGGAUUCACUCUCUUGAGUGCUUCACCUGACCUUGGAGGUUCCCUUUGCCCUGCCCAAUCACCUGUAGAUAGGACUACUAUUACCCUCUCCAUGGUUAAGCCCUGUGACUUUGCCAUCUAUGUCCUGCUGGAGCCUGACUGAUACAGCAAGAGGAGGCAUUGCCCAGGAAGUACCAAUUUUUCACACCCCCUGAGAGUGAAGGCAGAUAUGAACCCAAGGGACAAUACUAUUUUCUCAUUGCCUGGCUUCUUGGAUCAAAAUUGACACCUUUGGGAGUAAACUCCUGGAUUCCUGGACAAUUUGGGAAGGAGAGGUAAAUAUUGGAUUCUUGCUAAUAUAGGCAUAUGAAGUCUCAAGUGAUUAACUGAAAAAUAAAGAUUGGGUACUGUUUGUCUCCCCCCAAGCUGAAUAGGUUGAAGCCUAACCCCCAGUGUGAUGGUAUUAGGAAACAGGGCCUUUGGGGAGAAAUUAAGUUUAGGUGAAAUCAUGAAGGUGGAGCCCCCAUGGUGAGAUUAGUGCCAUUAUAAGAAGGGCCACCAGAACUUCCUCUCUCCAACAUGUGAGGACACAGGGAGAAGGCAGCCAUCUGCAAGCCAGGAAGUGGGCCCUCAUCAAGAACUGAAUCUGCCAUCAUCCUAAUCUUGGACUUCCCAUCCUCCAGAACUGUGAGAAAUAAAUGUCUGUUGUUUAAAUCACCCAGUCUAUGGUCUUGUUAUAGCAGCCUGAGCUGCCUAUGACAUAUACCAUGCCCAUACCUCAAUCUGGUGACAUGAGUCAUGCAGGUGCAAUUUAGCUGCACUCAUCGGGCACAGUCAUUUGCAUGUUGAUGAGCAAGCUUCCAUCCGUAUCAUUAGCUACUCAGUUUACCUAGUCUCAGCUGUUCAAUAUUAGAUAUAGCUUUACAGUUUACAUUGCUCAGGAAAUGAGAGCAAAGCAGCACAGAAUGGAUGUUCUUGGCACAAAAACCUGGGCUCACCUGAAUCCAUAGAGGCACUUGGGAUGUCACAGUCCAGGCCAAAGAGGCUUGGCGGUAUCUUAAGAGUGUCAGUAGUCUUCGGCAUUCCUCAAACUGUACCAGGUCUCAGAAUCGCCCUCCAGCUGCCUCCUGUGGUUUCCUCUGUGGUGUAUGAAGUGGAGGUGGCACAAUAUGACAGACACAUAACAGAUAGCCAGCAGGUGGUAGGCUGAAUGUACAUCUGAAUGCAUCCACAAAAACAGGGUGCUCUUUCAGGGGAGCACAUGACUAACUUCUAUACACGUAGGCAACUGUCUUUGUGCAGUUCAUGGCCGUUGCAGGUUGGAUUCUUUGGGAAGUGGACCCUGAGUUUGUUGUAUAGGAUGUUCUUUAAGGAGUGCUGUUGGGAUCAAGCAACACCUGUGGAAGGGAGAAGAAGACCGAGUGGGCAGACGGAGAAGUUAAGCUGUGGUGUAUACACAGGAAGAACUGGCAUAUACUGCUGCUACAGAAACAAAAUACUAGAAAAGGAUGAAAAAUAUGUGUGAUUUGUUGAUUCUAUUUUACUGCACUCGACACUAGACACACAGUUGGCAUUAGCUCUAAACUAAAAGAAAAUGAAGUUGGGAAUGAAAUAAAAGCAGACACAAUUGUGCAAAUUAAUAAAAGAAACCUC